CUUGACCGAUUCAGCGUCGCUGUCUGUCAUCGUAGAUCGUCGAGGCUCUAGAUACCAAUUGUUGGCUUCAAAACGCCAGAUCAGAUCACACGUAUGUCUAUGUGCUAAGCUAGCACACAACCAGGCAGCUGGAUGGAUCGAUUCUUGCUGGACACGAGUAGCUAGCUUACUCAGCUAAGCUAGCGACCAUCUCGCCGGCGCUAAUUCAAUUUCGACAGAACACGACAAGUCGAGGUGAUGGCGAACAGGGCCGUGUCGGUCCUGUGUAUAGCUUUUCUUUUUCUUGGUGAUUUACAACCUGGGUUACAUAGGUAUAUAUAGGAGCUAACUAGUCCUAUAGCUAACCUAGUCGGUUUCCUGUACUAGUCCGUCUCGGACUAAAACUUGAAAAUCCUAAGCCGUGUUUAACUCUAAUAGUGGUAAGUCUUUGUCGGCACUUAUCUUCCGUUUGCUUUUCUCUUGGUUUUGUUCUCAUGUGCCGUGCCGGCUCCGGCCGCAGCGGUUUGUGCGGCAAAUGAUGCCAGACGACCGCACCCCAAUAUCUUGGAGGUGCAUCGCGCCGAGUCGAACGAGGAGGACCUCGAGCUCAGGAGAGGCGACGAUGCGACCGACUCUGACUGGGACAGUGGGCCGGAGGUGGGGCCGGCCGACACCGGUGCCAGUGGGUCCAGGACAGCCAGUGAGUCUCGCCUCGAAGUUAUGCUUAGAGACUGGCCAGAUGACGACGAUGACGAUGUCCAAAUACUAGACGCUCCGCCUGCCGCAGCGUCGCCGCCCAGAAGACGACAACGAGGAGGGGUCGGGAGAUUUCGGCCGGGAGGCAGCCGGCCCGGCACUAGGCGACUGACGUAUGCUGGCCUGAAAAGCGGCAGGUUGAGGUGCAGCCGGCCACGAAAAAGGCGUGGUCCGCUGCCAUCUCGCUGGGCGCCCGACCGCCGGCUCGAAGCGGACGCCAGAUUCCCAAGUCCUCCGGCUCCGCCAUCCAGCUAUCAACGGCCGCUGCCACGGCCGGGCCCGGGGAUGCGGCGGCUAGACUUGCCGUGGAGCGCUCCGCCACAGUGCUGCUAGAGAAAGAGCGGGCCGCCGCGCAGGUGGAGGUGGCGGCCAAGAGCGCAACAAGUGCCACGACGCCGCCGGAGAUAGAAGGCAGCCGAGUCGACGAGUCGCCCCUCCACGAGGGUCGCGCCAAGCACCAACACGAGCGCGGAGAAGGAGGUAGCUCCCGGGAAGCCGGCCCACGAGACAAAUGUUGAGCUGAGGGAGGAGGAGGCCCCCGACCCGGCCGCCGUCAGACCAAUCGAGGGUGAUGCGGCGCCGACCGCCGAGAAGGAGUUAGCUCCUGGAGGAAGCGCGACGUCUGGUUCGGACUCCGUGGUCGACGCGACGGAGGAGGCGCCACACCCGCCGGAGUCGAGGGUCCCGGAAGCGGACGCCACCACCAUCGUCAUAUCCACGGCGCGCGCCAACACCGCCCCAUCCGGCCCGACCGCCUUGAGGUUGACCGGCGGCGGGGCCGGCCACGCGAUCAGGACGAUGCGCCAGAUCCAGGUGGAGUGGGCGAAGCUGAGUGCCGUCCCGGACACAGCCGGUCCGAACAGGCCAGUAAGCGCAAAAGCCCUCGUGCCGGUCGGGACGUCACCGCGAGGGGCUCAUCAGCUUUGGCGAGGCGGCUGUGAGCAACUUCCAGCUGGUGGAGCGGGCUUUCCAGUUUGGCAUUUCCUGAUUAUGUAUGCUUUAGUGAUGGCUCAACUUGCAGAUUGGGUACAAAAUUAGUUUCGAUUCUUCCGUGCUUCAUAUUGCCCUAUUUGGAGAUACACUAGUUAAUUGCCCAUGGGGCUAAUGAACACUCAUAGUAUAUUAUGGGUAUCAAACUCUGCACAACUAUAAGUUCUUCAAAUGCAUAUACCUCAUGACACUUCAUUUGUGUGUGCUACCCUAUGUCAUGACAAUUACAAAUUUGCUAUUUGAUGGCUGUGUUUGUUAUGUGUAACACAACUGUUUCAAGAAUUUGCAUUCUUAAAGUUACUGACACGA